AGGUUGGUCUCAAACUCCUGACCUCAAGUGAUCCCAAAGUGUUGGGAUUACAGGCGUGAGCCACCAUGCCCGCCUGAAUUAAACUUCUAGUUUAUUAAACUUCGAUUUUAUUUAAGCCACCGUUAUUUUUGUUUCCUUUUACUCAUAUAGAAGUUUACUAUGGGAAUCUGUCUAGGUAAACCUACAGACAGGAACUUAAUAAAGGAAAAGAUGUGAGAUUUCCUUUUCAGGCUAUAAUGUCGCUUGGAGAGAUGUCUUUGUGCAAGCCCUCUGUAGCACACAUAGAGAACUUAGACGGGCUUUGGCGGUGGCCAGCUUCGGCUUCUAUGCCAUCUCCGCAAUUUCUCCUCUGAAUAUGACUGUAGUUGUGCCCAGGAACAAACAGAUACUCUCCCACACUGAGAAAAGGGCCAAAAUCUAUCUCACCCGGCCCAGGCUCCUCCCUUUGAACCAGCUUAGCGAAAAGUCUGGUCACCCCUGACCUUUCGGUUCAAAGUGAAGCUCUUUGUGCGAGUUCAGUGAGGUGGGACAGGCAAGGGGACUGAAAGGAGCACACUGGGCCCUCUGCCUGGUACCUCCCACACAGGUGUGCUUGGGAGGCCGGGGGAGGGAGGAAACGAUACUCCCAGAAUCAAUGCCGGCCGUGUCCUCUUAACAGCCGCCCUGCCUGACCCAAGCCUGCUCUGCCGAGAACAACAGGGCCCAUUCUAGUCACUUCAGCCAGAUUGCUGAAGUCACGCAUCACGGCAUCUGGGAAUGGCUCCUUUCCCAUGGCCCCCAGAAGAGGAGUGCUCCAUUUCAUGCUCCUUGCAAUAGAAAAGAAGGGAACAGCAGGAAUAGGAGCAUAUUAUGGUCCUCAUGGAAAAGCCAGAACCCUGGUCUCAGGUCUCCACCAGUUUAGAAAAACCAAAGGUAUGAAUAGUUUGCUGUCUGCUGCCAAAGGGCCCCAAAUCAUCAUGGCUUCAGAGGAGCCCUUCCUUGGUAAAGGAAGAUGACAGACAGCAAGGUUGGAGGUGGCAGGGUAUGGGAGGCAGGCUGGGCGGGGGCAUCCCUCCUGCCCUAACUUGUUGGGUGACCCUCAUUAAGACAUUUCCUUCUGUGGACCUCAGACUUCCCAGGUACCGAGUGGGGAGGUUAGUGACAUGGACAUUGAAGCUCUGACAUCUUCUAAUUAUAUCACAGAUGAUUUCAAAGACCAAAAAAGAGUCACUUUCUGGAUAAAUACAAAAAUAAUUCCACAUGGAGGAAUAAUGCUCAACCCCCUUUUCCUAACAUUUGUGAGACCUUCUGCUAUGUCUCAGAGCCAGCUGUCUAAGCCACUGGGGGCAGAGAGAUUGCCCUGCCCAAAGAGGCUAAUCCCACAUUGCUGAGCAAGGGGUCAUCCGUGCCUUCUUGUCCGUGAGUGGCUUCCAGUGCCUGAAGACACAUGUCCCAAGAAACAUUCCAUUGAAGUGAAUCCUAAAAGAUUCCCAAAUUUCCUUGGGAAUUCUUUCACCAAGGGAGGACAGCAUUCUCCAUUGGCCAUUAAAAGCUUCCUGGCAACAAGAACUGGGAUUCCGCUUCUUAGCUGGCAAGAUAGUCCUGAAACAGUUUCCAGCUGUUGAAGGCCUCAGAAGAGUGCAUGUUAGCUAACAAUGCUGGAAGUCUCUGCAGGAAGCUGUUAGCUGGAGACUGGUUGACCGCUGUCCUCACUGGGUUAGAGGCCUGCUCAGAGAUCGAGCCAUGAGGACCUGAGCUUGCCUGUCCUUUCAAGAGUGCAGCAAACUCCUUCAGCAGAGCCUGUGCAGAAGAAAAUGUAGGCACCCUUUUCCGAAAGCCAGCACUUUGGGAUAUUCCACAAGUCUUCACAAUAACAAGCUAAAAUUUUCCAGAAGCUCGGCUGCCCCCAAGUCCAACUGCUGCUCAGUCCCCAUGGUUGCUGGACCUCACAGGGUCAAGAGACACAAGAGCAAAAGCAGGGGCAGGAGGCGUUGCUUGCUGGCGUUGCUCUCUGCUUCUCCUCACUGCCAUUGCUCACCGGGCACCUGAGUCUCUGCUCUCCCUUCAGGUAGCCCCAGGCCCAGCCGCACCGGAGUCCAGGGCUUGUCACCUGCAGAGCAAGGGGAGACAGGGGAAGAGGAGCCAAGUGUUACAGGAGCCUCCUGAGAGGCUGCAGAGCAACGGCACUCCCACGGCAUCCUCAACCUCAUGGGGAUGAGGAUUCCUGCUGCCCAGAGAGGCUACAGAAGCUAGGAUCUGUUCUAGGGAUUAUUGGAAGAAGAGGUAGCAGGAGGUAAGAGAAAGGGUCAGUUUAAGCUGUAAGGCAGGAGGCGAGAUGAGAUCUGCAGGGUGACCUGGAAGUUCCUGGGAUAAGACAGCAGAGGGACAGCCAUCCCCGUCCCUACCCACCCUGCAUGAGGUGAUUCUUGCUUUAGGCAAACCUAGGCAAGGUUCAGCUCAGUGACUAGCAGGACGGUGGGGUAGCCAGGAGCAUGGGCUCCAGAGUCUUCAAUCCCAGCCAUGCAGCUCACAUGGAGGGUGCCACCUGGCCACUUGUACCCCAUUUAAAAGUCUGUAACGCUGGGAUGAUGCACUGUAAAUUCCAGGGUCACUGUGAGAAUCAAAAGAGACACUGUGACCCGUGGUCAGUGCUCAAGCCAUGAGGGCUCUUGAUAUCAAGGACAGUCCAUGGCAUGAAAGAAGAGAUGGGAGAUGGGACCUGAAAAUCUGGGUUUGAAUUCCAACUCUGGCUCUCAUCAGCUGUGUGACCUCUGGCAGCCCAUUCAAUCUCUCUGUGCCUUCUCAUUGUGAACAUGGGAAUAAUAAUACUACUGAUAACCAUGAGCUAUUGUUGUGAGGGUCAACUGAGAUAUACUAACUUGAAAAAUGUCAACUCAUAUAUAUCACUGGUCUCUGGAGUAGGAGCUUUGGGAGGUACAGAGAGGAAUCGGAUGUGAAUCCUGCCUCUCGAGUAUCUUACUGGCAAGAGGAAAGAGAGGCAAGUACACAAGGAACUAUACUCCCAAAUGGCAAGCUGCUAUCUUCUUAGGCAAAGGAAGAUAAAGAGAUGGUACCAUUGACAGGAUAGCACAAUCUAGACAGUCACUCUUUGCUUCACUUAGCAAAGUUCAAGGGAAAUAUUUUAUUUGAGCCUAAUGACUCUGGACACUUCCCUUAAAAUGACAUAUGAGAAUAUAAGUCAGUUUUUCUCCUGUUGAGAGGUGGCAGGCUUUGGAAUCAACCACACCCUUGUGAAUUCUCUUGGGCACAGUUUUGUUUAUGCUUAUAUGUCACUUAAUGGUUACAUAUCUGUUACAGGCUGAAUUGUGCACUCCCCAAAUUCAUAUGUGGAAAUCCUAUCCCCCAGCACCUCAGAAUGUGACUGUAUUUGGAGACAGGACCUUUAAAGAGGUAACUAAGGUAAAAUGAGGUCAUACGGGUGGGCCCUAAUCCAAUAUGACUGGUGUCCUCAUAAGAAGAGGAGACUAAGAUGCAGACACAAAGGAGAGACCAUGUGAAGAGACAGGGAGAAGACAGCCACCUUCAAGCCAAGGAGAGAGGCUUCAAGCCAAGGAGAGAGGCUUCAGAAGAAGCCAACCCUCCUGACACCUCGAUCUCAGACUUCUAGCCUCCAGAACUAUGAGUAAAUACAUUUCUGUUGUUGAAUUCACCCAGUCCGUGCUACUUUGUUAUGGCAGCCCUAGCAAACUAACACAGCAUCCUCGAGUAAAUCACCUAGCUUUUCUGAGGCUCACAGGUUUCUCACCUGUAAUGAUAAUAGUAAUAAUUGAAGCAAACACUACCAGGGUCCUGUUAGGUGCGAGGCACUGCUUUAUGCACUUUUCAUAUAUUGACGAAUUUACUAUCUCAAAGCAAUACUCUGAGCUAGGUAUCAUUAUUAUCUCUAGUUUAUGGAUGGGGAAACUGAGGCACAAAGUAUCUAACUUGCCCAAGGACACACAGGAAGUAGGUGACAAAGUUCAAACCUGCCUUUCUUUUCCAGAAGUUGUGCUUCUAAGGAUUAAAUUAUUUGCAGUAUAAUCUCAGGAUCUCAGAAUGUAGGCGCUGAUAGGAAUAUGAGAGAUUAUACAGCCAGCACUUCUCAAACUUCAGCGUGCACCUGUUUCCCCAGGAAACUUGCCAAGAAAUGCAGAUUCUGAUUCGGUAGGUCUGGGGUGGGGGCUGAGGUGCUGCCAAGGGUUACAGAACUAGUAGGUGGCUUAGUCAGGAUUUGAACCCAGGUGGUCUGGCUCCAGAACCCACAUUCUGUAAAAUGGGAACAAUAACACCACUCCCUGCCUAUCUCUCACCAAGGCUUACUGGGAAGAGUAAAUGCUUGAUUUGAGCCAUUUCUCUGCCCCUGGUAGACAAAAUAAUGAUCUUGAAAUCAAGCCUGGGUGAGCUUGGGGAAGGUGGGCAAGAAUCUCCCUCCAGCUUUCUUGUGGUGGUCAGAGAAGCUUCUAUGUUUCCCCCUUCCUUUGUGACCUAGGUUUCUUGUUCAUGGACUCUUAAAUCCAUGCCGUGGCUCCUGGAGGACUGGAUUGCCUGCACAGGGUCCACUAAGAUCCUUUUCUGGCUAAGGACCCAAAAGUCUAUCUUUGUGGACACCAGAAACCACAGAAACAGGAAAGCAGAGCUCAGAGGUCUUGUUCCCAUGGGACAGAAAUCUUCCCUGACAAAUUGUGAUGCAGAAACCCUUCUCUGACAUUGCCCAGUAAGAGCCCUGUCCUCCUCUCCUGGGUCAGGUAAGGGGCAGCCAAACACGCCGCCCCCCUGCCCCACCGCCUCCAUCUGCCACUUGUUCCUCCCCAGGCCCAGCUCUCUCCUGACAGAAAAAUGCAUCUCUCUGGUCACCUGGUCCUGACACAGUAUCCCUAGAGAGAAGAAGGAAAUGGGAGACAGAACAAUCCAAGCACCCCUCUGGAUCACAGAUAAACACAGGAAGAGUCCCAAGCCUGGGGAACUUCCAGCAGCCCUGAGCUCCCUCCUGCCAGCCCUUUCUCAGAGGGCUUGCCAUCAGCACAGUCUCCUUAGACAGGAUGUUUGGGGCUGCUGUGCGGGGACCCCAGGGACAGGGCACCCCAGCCUGCAUCCUUGGAGAGAAGCACUUAGAAAACCCUUUGCCUCUGCAGAUCAGGGCAUCCCAGGAUGCUGCAAGAAACAUGUUUCUCUGGCAUGAGUUACUUUUACCUUUUGAAAACACACCUGCCCAGACCUCUCCCAUUGCUGCAAAGACCAAAAACCCCAGAGGCCCUCCAAAGCCUGGUCUCUCUUCCAGAAACUGUGCUUCUAAUUCCUAAAAAUAAAACAACUUGCAGUUUAGCUUCAGGCUCACAGACAGUAGGAGCUGAAAUAAGACACCUAUUCCAGCGUGCACUUUCUUAUGCCUAUCAGUGUAGGGGAGGGGACUUGUUCAAAUGCAGAUUCUGAUAGGGCAGGUCUGGGGCAGGGUCUGAUUCUGUGUUUCUAACAAGCUCCCAGGGGAGGCUGUUGCUGCUUGUUGGUGGACUAUGCUUUAAGCAGCAAGGAUCUAGUUCACCCCCACCCUCCCCAUUUUACAGAUUUGCAAACCGAGGCCCACAGAGUAGAAGACAAUUGCUUAUGUUGAUUAGGAGCAACUAAAUGGAAACCUGAACCAGUAUCUGAUAGGGGAAUUGCUGUCUGAGCUCAAGUUAUGGGACACAUGUCAUCUUCUCUGUCACUCUGCUUGCUUGGGAGGAAAGGCGAGAGAGGGGAGGACUAGGCCCAUGUAUUCCUUCUUCUGUUUCUAUUGAGGCAACGCUUCAAAUCAUUAUUUGGAUAGUAAACACAUGCCUUGGGUACCUUUUAUGUAUCCAUAGAGUCUUUUUUUUUUUUUUAAGACAGAGUUUUGUUCUUGUUGCCCAGGCUGGAGUGCAGUGGUGUGAUCUCAGCUCACUGCAAUCUCUGCCUCCCGGGUUCAUGCCAUUCUCCUGCCUCAGCCUCCCAAGUAGCUGGGAUUACAGGCAUGUGCCACCACACCUGGCUUAUUUUAUUUAUUUAUUUAUUUAUUUAUUUAUUUAUUUAUUUAUUUUUAAGACAGAGUCUCACUCUGUCACCUAGGCUGGAGGGCAGUGGCGCCAUCUCAGCUCACUGCAACCUCUGCCUCCCGAGUUCAAGCAAUUCUCUGCCUCAGCCUCCCCAGUAGCUGGGAUUACAGGCGCCCACCACCACGCCUGGCUAAUUUUUUUGUAUUUUCAGUAGAGAUGGGGUUUCACCAUGUUGGUCAGGCUGGUCUUGAACUCCUGACUUCAAGUGAUCCACCUGCCUCGACCUCCCAAAGUGCUGGGAUUACAGGCUUGAGCCAACGUGCCCAGCCAAGAGUCUUAAAUUAUCUUUUUCCUAAAAAACAUUGAUACGGGAAAUUUCCAAUGGGGAACCACCUACAGAGCCAAAGAGGAGAGAUGCUACAGUUCCCUGUGAUAACAGAAAUUCACCCUCACGGACUCGCCCUAUCCCCAAGCAUGGCAGAGUGAAUCCCAUUUGAUCCUGCUGUGCCAUCAAGUCCAAAUCCCUCCUCACCCCACCAAUCAGCUGUAGGGGAGGGAUGGUUCCAAAGCCUUUGCCAAUUGCAGCUGGGAGAAAGGUAGCUCUGAAACUAUUUCACAUCCUCCUAUUCAUUCAGCUCACAUCGUUAGCCCGUGGGCGGCCACUGCGCUGGUGCUGGGGGAAAAGGAAAGUAAGAUCUCCACCCUUAAGGAUCCCCCAGUCCCAUACCCCUGUGCAACAGGCACUGAAAUCUAAAUAAUGCACAUGACCCUCCCAGCAAACCAGAUAUGUCCUAAUGAAAAGUCAGCCUGUAAUUACUCACUUGAGAUUUAACGUAAGAGUAAAUAAUUUAGCCACAAUGAUAAAUCUGGCAGGGUGUCCAAACUUUUGGUUUCCCUGGGCCAUACUGGAAGAAGAAGAAUUGUCUUGGGCCACACAUAAAAUACACUAACAGUAGCUGAUGAGCUAUAAAAAAAAAAAAAAAAAAGGGCUGUGCAUAAUUUUCAUGAUAUCCACCAUCACAGAUAAGCAAAAAAGUCCUCACGUUCAAAGGGCUGGACAUGGCUGCAUGCUGUCCAGUACAGUAGCCAUGAAUCACAUGUGGCUAUGUAAAUUUAAAUUCAAUUAUAAUUAGAUAAAAUUAAAAAUUUAGUUCCUUGGCCGGGCGCGGUGGCUCACGCCUAUAAUCCCAGCACUUUGGGAGGCCGAGGCUGGUGGGUCACGAGGUCAAGAGAUAGAGACCAUCCUGGCCAGCAUGGUGAAACUCCGUCUCUACUAAAAAUACAAACAUUAGCCGGGCGUGGUGGCGCGAGCCCGUAGACCCAGCUACCCAGGAGGCUGAGGCAGGAAAAUCGCUUGAACCCGGGAGGCAAAGGUUAUAGUGAGCCAAGAUUGCACCACUGCACUCCAGUCUGGGUGACAGAGCGAGACUCUGUCUCAAAAAAAUAAAAAUAAAAAAAUAAAAAAUUUAGUUCCUCAGUUGCACUAGGUACAUUUCAAGUCCUCCACAGCUUGUAUAUGGUUAGGGGCUACUACAUUGGACAUCACAGGUUGAGGACACAUUUAUCAUUGUAGAGACUUCUAUGGAACAGCUCUGAGCCUCAGGACUCAGAGUGGUGUAGAAGGUCCACACUAGAGCUACAAUUCAGUUCAGAGUGACAGUUCUCACGGUGGUAUUCCCUGAACAGCAGCAUCACACUACCUGUUAGAAACACAGGUUCUCAGUCCCACUCCAGACCUACUGACCAAGUGACUCAGAAAAAUCUGAGGGUGGGGCCCAGAAAGCUGUCGUAACAAAUCCUCCAGGUGAUUCUGAUAAGCGCUUACGUUUGAGAACUGUUAGUUACAGAGUAUUAACUAAAUCUCAAACAGACACUUGUCAGCCAUCAGUUAAGUGUCAACCUCCUAAAUAUUUGAAAAUGUAUCAGGCUUUAUCACAAGCUAGAUCCAAAUUUAAGUCUCAGACCUGCCACUUAAGGGCGGUAUGUGUAGUUGGCCAAUUACUCAACAAUCUAAGCCUCUGUCCGCUCAGUUGUAAAAUGGGGGAAUAAUAGCUGUCUUAGAGGUCUGUUAGAGGGAUGAGAUGAUGUAUGCGAUGUGUGUGGUACACGGGCCGGCCCGGAUGAAGACUCCAUAAAGGUCAGUGUGUCGCCAUUACCCAGGGUUGCCUCCCGGGCAGUGACGGAUGCAGCUGACCGUCAGCCUGGCUUACUACAUGGGCUUUUAGGGUAGCCUUUUUCACGAAUAAAUUGGUAGAACUGCAUCUUCAGAUGAGAGUUACAUCUAAACAAGAGGUGCUUUCUUGAAAGCUUGCCACAGAGGGCUUUAUGCAGGAAACUCACCCCUGUCAGGCAAUAUGUUUAUGACCUGGGGAAAAAACCCAAAUAUGACCUAAUGAGAGUCCCUCACUGGGCUCUAGGCAAAAGUUCUGCCUGGAUUAUGUGAAGUGUGGCAGAUGCACCAAGCCAGAGUCCUGGGGUCCUGGAACAGUAAGCCUUCUAGCAGAGAAUUCAGGGGCGGAUAAAGGGAGGUUCCUGCUACCUCAGAGGGCCAGGGUAUGAGAAGAGGUCAUUUCUGCGCGGCAGCCUGGCUCAUUGUUUUAUUCCAGGGGGCUUUGCUUGCCUCUCACAUUCAAGCAAAGCACAGAUCCCAAAAGAGGGAAGGGAAAGGGAGAAGAGAGGGGAGGGGAGAGGAAGGCAAAGGAGAGGACUGGAGAGGAGAGGGAUUAAAAGAUAAAAUAUGGCCUUGUUUACCCAUCCCAGUAUUAAACUCCCACCCUUCUGGGGGAUUCCAUGAAUGAAAACACAACACCUGCUGGGCUAGUGGCUGUGAAAGAGGAGAAGGGGUGAUGGAAAUGCAGCACAUAGGGAGCAGAUCUAUUCUUAGUCCCACGAACUUCCUCCGGGCCCCCAAAGGCCUUGCCCCAUUCUGAUGUCUGCUUCCUUGAUUUCAAUGUUUUUUCUCUUCCAGACCAUCCUCCCAGCUGCCAUGCUCAAGCUUUUGAAAUGCAUAAUUUGUUUUAAUUACAAAAUAAAAUAAUUUCUACCUCCCCUAGAGGGUUCUCCCUGGCCCUAAAUUUCCUAUCAAUUCCUUCUCCCUCUGCAUCCACAUCAUAGUCAUCAAACCCUUCUUUAAACUUAUCUCAUUCUGUCUUUAGAGUUCCUGAACAUUUUCCACACUGGGCUGCGGGCUCCUUGAGGGCAGGGACUCCGUGAACACAUUUUCCUUCCCAACAGACCUUAGUUCAGUAGCUUGGCACACCAAGGCUGCCCAGUCAACAUUGGACUGACUGAAUGUGUUUGCCAAAUGAAUCUGGCUAUUUGCCGGCUCUGCAACUUUCAACUCCUUGUCCAACACCCUCUAUCAAAACAGGUGGGUGUAUUUUGAAGUAGAAAUUGGAGACAUUAAAAUAAGCAGAUUUUUUAAAAAAUACAUCACUCUUUUUUUGUCAUUUAAGCAUUACCCUCAAUUGAGGAAAAAAAGAGUACUUUCCCUGUUAAAGCUUGUUUUGUCUCCCAGCAUCAUAAAGCUAGAGGGGAAGUCUUGUUACUGAUACAGGUGCUCCCAGGCUCACCAAAUCCAAGGCCAGCCUGCCCCUCCUACAGUUUGGAGUGACUGGAGGCUGCAGCGAGGAAGGGUCCUGGCCUCUCCCGCCAAUCCCAGGGCUCUCUGGAGAGGGUGCUGCCCACGAUAAAAGGUCACAUCCUGUCAUGAUCAAGACAUUAAUGGAUAUGACAAAGAUCCCAGAUGAAAAGCAACUUCUGAACCACACCACUGGCAUCCUGAUUAAAGCAAACAUAAGCAAGCCGAACCCAGCAAGACAUCUGGAACCAUCCCUAAGAGUGACCAUCCACUAGACAGGACCCAACCCUGCCAUGAGUGGAAUCAACUUCCUGUCUCAUGAGACUGCAGAUUUCAAAUCCUGUGCCUCUCCAUGGCUUCCUGAGCUCCUAACCACACUCUGACAGGCAUGGCAUCUAUGCAAAAAGGGAAAUGAGUGAGGCCAGUUGAAGAAUUAUAUAAUCCUCCAUUUUAAAAAUAGGACUGGGUAUUUUUGGAAAGAACUAGCUGGGUGAGUUAUUUAACAGCCUUUCUGGCUAGCCUGUGGAAACUCAGAAAAUGGCAUUCUCUCAGGGUCUCUAGAAAGAUGUGUUACCUGGUACAGCCAAAGAAGACUGAAGAUGCCCAGGCUGGGCUGAACCUGGGACAAUGCAGAGAUAACCUGGUCCUUUGUAAGCUGUGGACUGGCCCUGUAAUGCACGCUGGGAAGAGAGGAGUUUGGAAGCCACUCCCCAGGAUGGAUCUCUGUAGGCAAAUCCUUUCAACAGCUACUGUGAAGCCCUCUGAGCGAUGCGAUUGAUUAAGGUUGACAAAAGCCUGGCAAUGGCUUCCACUCCCCACUUCUUGUUCCCAUGUUAGACAUUAUUAAUCAAUUACAACUCUUUCUCUACAAGCCCCAGAACCAAUCCUUUACACAAAUCUCCCAGAAGCCACCAACAAUCAGUGGGAGUUGGCACGAGGUGAGACUUCUCCAGUCUGUCUGCAGUAGCUAGUAAGUGGUGCACUGGCUUCAGUUUGGACCACUGCUACAUCGUGGAGUUGACCUGUUGAAAUUGAUGAGCUAUUCUGACAUCAGUAAUGCUCCCUGCAGCUUAGAGUUCAGGACUUCCGUUGUGAUACAAAUACAGCUG
rnacentral:lncRNA from 1 species